GAUGAACGCUGGCGGCGUGCCUAAUACAUGCAAGUCGAGCGAACAGACGAGGAGCUUGCUCCUCUGACGUUAGCGGCGGACGGGUGAGUAACACGUGGAUAACCUACCUAUAAGACUGGGAUAACUUCGGGAAACCGGAGCUAAUACCGGAUAAUAUAUUGAACCGCAUGGUUCAAUAGUGAAAGACGGUUUUGCUGUCACUUAUAGAUGGAUCCGCGCCGCAUUAGCUAGUUGGUAAGGUAACGGCUUACCAAGGCAACGAUGCGUAGCCGACCUGAGAGGGUGAUCAGCCACACUGGAACUGAGACACGGUCCAGACUCCUACGGGAGGCAGCAGUAGGGAAUCUGCGGCAAUGGGCGAAAGCCUGACGGAGCAACGCCGCGUGAGUGAUGAAGGUCUUCGGAUCGUAAAACUCUGUUAUUAGGGAAGAACAAAUGUGUAAGAAACUAUGCACGUCUUGACGGUACCUAAACAGAAAGCCCCGGCUAACUACGUG
rnacentral:rRNA from 1 species